ACGGGAGAAAGCAGGGGACCUUGGCCUUGCGCUAUCAGAUGAGCCUAGGUCGGAUUAGCUAGUUGGUGAGGUAAUGGCUCCAAGGCGACGAUCCGUAACUGGUCUGAGAGGAUGAUCAGUCACACUGGAACUGAGACAGUCCAGACUCCUACGGGAGGCAGCAGUGGGGAAUAUUGGACAAUGGGCGAAAGCCUGACAGCCAUGCCGCGUGUGUGAAGAAGGUCUUCGGAUUGUAAAGCACUUUAAGUUGGGAGAGAGCAUUAACCUAAUACGUUAGUGUUUUGACGUUACCGACAGAAUAAGCACCGGCUAUCUGUGCCAGCAGCCGCGGUAAUACAGAGGGUGCAAGCGUUAAUCGGAAUUACUGGGCAAAGCGCGCGUAGGUGGUUUGUUAAGUUGGAUGUGAAAUCCCCGGGCUCAACCUGGGAUGCAUUCAAAACUGACUGACUAGAGUAUGGUAGAGGGUGGUGGAAUUUCCUGUGUAGCUGAAAUGCGUAGAUAUAGGAAGGAACACCAGUGGCGAAGGCGACCACCUGGACUAAUAGACACUGAGGUGCGAAAGCGUGGGGAGCAAACAGGAUUAGAUACCCUGGUAGUCCACGGUAAACGAUGUCAACUAGCCGUUGGAAGCCUUGAGCUUUUAGUGGCGCAGCUAACGCA
rnacentral:rRNA from 1 species